UCUUCUUAUUUUUAUGUUGACAUGACUUGUGAGGUGUUUUGACAGUGACAAUUAAUUAUUUUCCAUUAUUGAAAUAAUAUUUGUUAUAAUACCUGUUUAGCAUAAACUAGAAUCUAGAAUAUAAGCUUUAAAUGUUGUUUCUUUUCUUACAGAGGGAAACACAAGUUUUUAUUCACCAAAAGUUUGACGGUUAAAAACAUUAUUACAUAAAUAUAAACAAUUAAAAUAAUCGUUUUUUACAGAAUAUCGUCUAAUUUUGUUAGUAUAUCUUGCAAAUGAAUUGUUAAUAAAUUACUUAUUCC
rnacentral:lncRNA from 1 species